rnacentral:rRNA from 1 species
CCCACGGGUGGCUGCAGUGAGGAAUAUUGGUCAAUGGACGAGAGUCUGAACCAGCCAAGUAGCGUGAAGGAUGACUGCCCUAUGGGUUGUAAACUUCUUUUAUAUGGGAAUAAAAUGUUCCACGUGUGGGAUUUUGUAUGUACUAUAUGAAUAAGGAUCGGCUAACUCCGUGCCAGCAGCCGCGGUAAUACGGAGGAUCCGAGCGUUAUCCGGAUUUAUUGGGUUUAAGGGGUGCGUAGGCGGAAUGCCAAGUCAGCGGUAAAAUAGCGGGGCUCAACCUCGCUCCGCCGUUGAAACUGGGGUUCUUGAGUGGACGAGAGGUAUGCGGAAUGCGUGGUGUAGCGGUGAAAUGCAUAGAUAUCACGCAGAACCCCGAUUGCGAAGGCAGCUUACUAAACUGUGACUGACAUUGAUGCUCGAAAGUGUGGGUAUCAAACAGGAUUAGAUACCCGUGUAGUC